rnacentral:rRNA from 1 species
UACGGGGGGGGGCAAGCGUUGUUCGGAAUUACUGGGCGUAAAGGGCUCGUAGGCGGCCAACUAAGUCAGACGUGAAAUCCCUCGGCUUAACCGGGGAACUGCGUCUGAUACUGGAUGGCUUGAAUCCGGGGAGAGGGAUGCGGAAUUCCAGGUGUAGCGGUGAAAAUGCGUGGAUAUCGAGAAGAACACUUAGGGCGUAGGCAAGACUCUGGACAAAUGCUGACGCUCAUGCACGAAGGCUAGGGUAGCGAACGGG